rnacentral:rRNA from 1 species
CCCUUAGAUGUUCUGGGCCGCACGCGCGCUACACUGAUGCGUUCAACAAGUAUACAACCUUCAUCGAUAGAUGUGGGUAAUCUUUUGAAUGCGCAUCGUGAUUGGGAUAGAUGAUUGCAAUUUUUCAUCUUCAACGAGGAAUACCUAGUAAACGCAAGUCAUCAACUUGCAUUGAUUACGUCCCUGCCCUUUGUACACACCGCCCGUCGCUCCUACCGAUUGAAUGGUUUAGUGAGGACUCCUGAUUGGCGCCGCCGCCCCGGCAACGGAGCAGUGGACUGCCGAAAAGUUGUUCAAACUUGAUCAUUUAGAGGAAGUAAAAGUCGUAACA